AUGAAGAGGAAGAGAGGCGAGCCUGAGCUGGAGUACGGGGCCUCGUCCGGGGUGGAUGAGAGGUCCAACGAGAGCAGCGACAAGAUGCAGGGCCAGCUCCUAGCCGCUGCGCGCGGCGCCGACGGGGGCAAUGCCAAGUUCGCGUGGUAUGGCGCUCCAUCGGUGGAUGUGGCCGCGGCGGCGGUGGAGCACUGGUUCGGCAGGAUGAACAACCGGGUCCUUUUCCAUCGCGCGCACGGCGACGACGUCCACCUCUCGCCGCCUCGGUCUCCUUAUGCCAGCGCAAUGCUAGCAAAUGAAGAUGAGAACGGCGAGGCGCAUAUCAUGCUGUGCCGUGUUCUGUUGGGCCGGCCAGAGGCCAUCCCGGCCGGGUCCUCCAAGCUCCACCCCAGCAGUGACAAUUACGACAGUGCCAUCGACAACAUGCAGAACCCACAGUGGUAUGUUGUUUGGUGCAAGGACAUGAACAUGAGGAUCCUCCCAGAGUACGUCGUCAGCUUCAAGUGUCCCAACCUCCAUCAGAUGCAAGGAUCAUCGGGAGCGAACUCCACGCUAAAGAAGCCUUCGCCGGUGGCUCAUGACAUGUUUCCGACGCUUCUAGCAGAGAUCCAGUGGUUCAUGCCAUCUUCCAAGCUGCAGACAUUGCAGGGGACCUACAAUUGCUUCAAGCCAGCUGCAAUGAAGUCCUCCAUAGAGAAGGGUUUGCAGAAAAUGUUCUUGGCAUCCCAGAUAAGCAGGUCGGGGUCAAAGCCAGUGCCCGGGGGAUUUCAAUGGAUCACCAACACGAGAAACUGA
rnacentral:rRNA from 1 species